rnacentral:misc_RNA from 1 species
GAUGAAGAACGUAGCGAAAUGCGAUAAGUAAUGUGAAUUGCAGAAUUCAGUGAAUCAUCGAAUCUUUGAACGCAUCUUGCGCUCCUUGGUAUUCUGAGGAGCAUGCCUGUUUGAGUGUCAUUAAAUUCUCAACUACACUGACUUUGAAUUGGUGUGGCUUGGAUUUGGGGGGAAAAUUGUUGUGGGCUUUUUGUAUAGUCUGCUCCCCUGAAAUUGAUUAGCGGUACCUUUGUGGAACUGUCUACAGGUGUGAUAAUUAUCUACAUCUUAGACAUCUGCUGGAAUGCUGCUCUCUAAACCUUACUUGUAUUGACAAUCUUGACCUCAAAUCAGGUAGGACUACCCGCUGAUCUUAAGCAUAUCAAUAAGCGGAGGA